rnacentral:rRNA from 1 species
CGCCAGACUCCUACGGGAGGCAGCAGUGGGGAAUAUUGCACAAUGGGGGAAACCCUGAUGCAGCGACGCCGCGUGAGUGAAGAAGUAUUUCGGUAUGUAAAGCUCUAUCAGCAGGAAAGAAAAUGACGGUACCUGACUAAGAAGCCCCGGCUAACUACGUGCCAGCAGCCGCGGUAAUACGUAGGGGGCAAGCGUUAUCCGGAUUUACUGGGUGUAAAGGGGGCGCAGACGGCAGCGCAAGCCAGGAGUGAAAGCCCGGGGCCCAACCCCGGGACUGCUUUUGGAACUGCGCGGCUGGAGUGCAGGAGGGGCAGGCGGAAUUCCUGGUGUAGCGGUGAAAUGCGUAGAUAUCAGGAGGAACACCGGUGGCGAAGGCGGCCUGCUGGACUGCGACUGACGUUGAGGCCCGAAAGCGUGGGGAGCAAACAGGAUUAGAUACCCCUGUA